rnacentral:rRNA from 1 species
GACGAACCGUGCGAACGUUGUUCGGAAUCACUGGGCUUAAAGGGCGCGUAGGCGGGCUCGCCAGUCAGGGGUGAAAGCCCACGGCUCAACCGUGGAAGUGCCUUUGAUACUGCGAGCCUCGAGGGAGGUAGGGGCGUGCGGAACUUCCGGUGGAGCGGUGAAAUGCGUAGAUAUCGGAAGGAACACCGGUGGCGAAAGCGGCGCGCUGGACCUCUUCUGACGCUGAGGCGCGAAAGCCAGGGGAGCAAACGGG